rnacentral:rRNA from 1 species
AGUUGAUCCUGGCUCAGGAUGAAAUACGAUGGCGGCAAUGCUUAACACAUUGCAAUUCGGACGGGAUGGUGUUUCCGAGUGGCAGACGGUGAGUAACGCGUAAGAACCACCCUUGGGGGGGAACAACAGCUAGAAAACGGCGCUAAUACGCAUAGGCUGAGGAAGCAAAAGGAGGAAUUCCGCCAAGAGGGCUCGCGUCUGAUUAGUUAGUGGUGAGGCAAUGGCUUUACCAGAGGCGACGAUCAUAAGCUGGUCCAAGAGGAUGAAUCAGCCACACGGGACUCGAGACACGCCCCAGACCCACGGAGGCACGCAGUGGGGAAUUUUCCGCAAUGGGUGAAAUCCUAACGGAGCAAUGCCAUGUGAAGGCAGAAGGCCCAAGGCUCAUGAACUUGUUUUCUUGGAGAAGAAAAAAUGAUGGUAUCUGAGGAAUAAGCUUCGACUAACUCUGUGCCAGCAACCGCGGUAAGACAGAGGAUACAAGCGUUAUCUGGAAUUAUUGGGCGUAAAGCAUCUGUAGGUGGCUUUUCAAGUCCGCCGUCAAAUCCCUCGGUGUCUCCACCCUAGACAGGCAGUGAUAUCACUUACCAAGCGGAGUAUGGUCGUAGGGCAGAGGAAUAUUCCGUGGAGCGGUGUGAAAUGCGUUGAGAUCGGGAAAGAACACCAACGAACGAAAAGCACUUUUUUUUUUUUUUGGGCUGGGCCGACACCGUACACCUGAGAGACGAAAGCUAGGGAGCAUAAUGGAUUAGAUACCCCAGUAGUCCUAAGCCGUUAAAUGUGGACUAAGUUGUUGUGCGUAGCGACCCGUUGUGCUAUAGCUAACGCUGUUAAGUAUCCCCGCCUGGGGAGUACUGUUGCGCACAGAAGGAACUUCAAAGGAAAUUUGACGGGGCCCGCACAAGUUGGGAGCAUGUGGUUCAAUCGAUGCAAGCGAAGAACCUUACCGGGCCUUGACAUGCCGUGAGAAUCCUCCGAAAGAGAAGGAGCCCUCGGGAACGAGGACACAGGUGGUGCAUGGCUUGUCAGUCAGCUCGUUGUUGCCGUUAUGGUGUUUAGGUUAAGUCCCACAAUGAGCUGCAAAACCCUUCAUGUUUAGUUUCCAGCAUUUAGUUUGGAACCCUUAACAGACUGCCAGCGAUAAGCCAGAGGAAGGUGACGAUGACGUCAAGUGAUCAUGCCCCUUAUGCCCUGGGCGACACACAUGCUACAAUGACCAGGACAAAGGGUCGGGACCCCGCGAGGGCAACCUAACCUCAAAAACCUAGCCUCAGUUCAGAUUGCAGGCUGCAACUCACCUGCAUGAAGGUGGAAUCACUAGUAAUCGCCGGUCAACCAUACAGCGGUGAAUUUGUUCCCGGGUGUUGUACACACCGCCCGUCACACUGUGGGAGCUGGCCAUGCCCCAAGUCUUACCUUAACCGCAAGGAGGGGAUGCGAAGGCUGGGCAGUGCUGGAGUGAAGUGUAACAAGGUAGUCGUUACUGGAAGGUGCGGCUG